rnacentral:rRNA from 1 species
AGUGAACGCUGGCGGUAGGCCUAACACAUGCAAGUCGAACGGCAGCACAGUAAGAGCUUGCUCUUACGGGUGGCGAGUGGCGGACGGGUGAGGAAUACAUCGGAAUCUACUUUUUCGUGGGGGAUAACGUAGGGAAACUUACGCUAAUACCGCAUACGACCUACGGGUGAAAGCAGGGGAUCUUCGGACCUUGCGCGAUUGAAUGAGCCGAUGUCGGAUUAGCUAGUUGGCGGGGUAAAGGCCCACCAAGGCGACGAUCCGUAGCUGGUCUGAGAGGAUGAUCAGCCACACUGGAACUGAGACACGGUCCAGACUCCUACGGGAGGCAGCAGUGGGGUAUAUUGGACAAUGGGCGCAAGCCUGAUCCAGCCAUACCGCGUGGGUGAAGAAGGACUUCGGGUUGUAAAGCCCUUUUGUUGGGAAAGAAAAGCAGCAGGUUAAUACCCCGAUGUUCUGACGGUACCCAAAGCAUAAGCACCGGCUAACUUCGUG